CUGCCAGAGAACCAGUUGAUGGAAAUAUCAAAGGAUUAUGGUACCAGAAUAUCAUCUGCUCUCAACAGGAUUAAUUGGGAUGUUUCCUAUAGAUUUGAAAAGGCUCAUGCAAUUCUAAAAAGGGGUUUUAUAAUAAACCCAUUGAAGGCACAGACCUGUUACAUAAACAGAUAGCGUAGAAUGAACAACAGCUUAAUUUGUAUGAUGUGGUAAACUGGCGCACUCCUGUGCCAGAUGAAGGUAUAGCGAUGACGUGAGUGCCAGGUGGCCCACAGAAGUGUGUGUUCAUGUGCCUCACACUCUGCGACUCCUUCCCCCCUCCUCCCUCCUCUCACAGCAGCAAACUGAUUCUGUCUGUUCUGCAGUGUGGUGACAUCAUCCCAGAGGCAAAGUCAGCACUGGAGCUGCCGCCCAGCGAAGCGGAGUCCAGAAGUAAACCAGACUUCCCUGCUGUUGUCACAGAGGGCCUGGAUGCCACAGGUUAAUGCCAUUACCUGGUAAGACCAUUCUGACCCUGUCCUGUCAGGGACAUUGAGAGGGGUGUUCUACUUCCGUCCCCUCCCCAGUGGGCCCGCUUUGAUCAGGAGCCGCCCCUCAUCCGCGGGGGGCGUCCACGCUCUGGGGAACUACAGCACAGCCAGCAGGGCAUGCAGACACCUGUCAUCUUUGACAGAUAAAGACAGCUGGGAAGUUGCAGGUAGAGUUUAGUCACAGAACUAAACUCUACCUGCAAUGAAGUUGGUCUUACUCACUCUGGACCCUGGGGAGAGGAAGAGGAGGCUGAGGAACAGUGCUCAACGGAAGACUGUUGGAUACUUACAAGUUUCAGUUUGCGUGGUUACAAGUUGGCAAUUAAAGUAGUGUGAAGGGUAGCACCUAAUGAUUAUUUUCAUUUAUUCACUCAUCGAUCAUUCAAUUAAGUGAUCGUCAUUUCAGAAGAGAAAACCCACAGUAGACACACUUCGCCAUGUGACGUGUUGAUGAAUGUUUUACAGUCUGUGAUGAACCAAAAUUCUCUGUGAGUGUGAAAACGUGAAACCACAGACGGGUACAAACUGUGCUGCACGUUCCACUGAGACAGGUCAGCUCAGUCUUAGUCUGAUCCAUCAAACACUUAACAAUCAAUUACUGUCCCGUGGGGGAAGCGGCUGAUGAGAAAGAACAGGUGAUUAGUUGCUGAGCUGUUGUGCUCCAUUAAGCUGGCCAAAACUCGAAGGCACUGCCGGCCCAGUUAGUCGCUGCGCUGACAGGUCGAUGGCUACUUUCAUUCAUCCUCUGUCCUGACAUAAUGGCCUUUCCACAUGGGACGGCCAGAUGUUGGGCCAGCAGAAUUACAAAAUGGAGGGAGUUGACCGUCUGCGGCUGAGAGAGUGAGAGCUUCUGCGGCCUAGGCCAAUCCCUAUCACGAGGACUAUUCUUCAUUUGUCUCAGGAAGUGGCUGAACACUGAGCCAUCUGUGUUGUUCCUCUAUACUCUGUUUCCCAGUUUACCAAAACUGUGAGCUGUCGAAAUACUCAAACUUAUUCUGACAACAGAUUAUGCGGUGUAAUGUAAAGUGUCAUUCACUGUGUUUAUGUCUGCUCGAGUGUGUGUGUGUGUGGGUGUGUGUUUGCAGAGUGGAGGAGGCUUACCGGAGGAUCAGUGGCCCAGCUUGCAUCACUGUGGAUGCAAGUCCUUCUGCAGACAAAGUGCCUCAACAAGUGCUGCUUUUAAUUAGGGGCAAAUGCCACUUGUAAACAGUUCUCCAUCUCCCCUGCUGUCGGCCAAGCAUCGAGUGUAGUACCCACCUUCACCACUGGGUGCCAGUAAGAUGUUGUGAAUGUGAGAUGGGAGCGUGGAGAAGAGAUGCUGUUCAGAAUGAGUAAAGGUUGAAUGGCCAGGGGCCACAAACGCACGCUACAAUCGGAAAUACAUAUUCAUGUAGAAACACUACACACACACACACACACACACACACACACACAUACACACACACACACACACACACACACACACACACACACACACACACACAAGUAUUGUCGAGAAGAGGUGUGCAUGAACUGACAUUGAGGAAAUUGAUGGGAACAUUAAUGAAAGCACCAGUCACACAUAUAAAAUUCAAAUUCAGAAACAGGAAGCAUCCAAAAUAUACAGUAAAUGCAAUGAAGUAAUAGCAUAAUAUAUAUAUAUAUAUAUAUAUAUAUAUAUGGGAUCCGAUUUGCAUUCAGCUAAAUCCCUUUUAAUUUAAUUUCUCGUUUGUUUCUGAUUAAAGGAAAAUAACACGA